CCUGACCUCAGGUGAUCCGCCCACCUCGGCCUCCCAAAGUGCUGGGCUUACAGGUAUGAGCCACCACACCCGGCCCCACUUGCUUUAGGUUUAGUUGACUCCUGUUGUCCAGGAUCUUAAGACGAAAGGUCAGGUCACUGAUUUGAGAUCUUUCUUCUCUUGAGACAGGAUUUCGCUCUCGGAAGUGGGAAGAGGUACUGGGGCAGGUGGGAAUGUGAGUUCAGGAGCGGAG
rnacentral:lncRNA from 10 species